rnacentral:rRNA from 1 species
UUAGCCCUAAACACAAAUAAUUACAAAAACAAAAUUAUUCGCCAGAGUACUACCGGCAACAGCCUAAAACUCAAAGGACUUGGCGGUGCUUUAUACCCUUCUAGAGGAGCCUGUUCUAUAAUCGAUAAACCCCGAUAGACCUCACCAAUUCUUGCUAAUACAGUCUAUAUACCGCCAUCUUCAGCAAACCCUAAAAAGGAAUAAAAGUAAGCAUAAUCACAACACAUAAAAACGUUAGGUCAAGGUGUAACCUAUGAAAUGGGAAGAAAUGGGCUACAUUUUCUACCACAAGAAAAUCACACGAAAGUUAUUAUGAAACUAAUAACCAAAGGAGGAUUUAGUAGUAAACUAAGAAUAGA